rnacentral:misc_RNA from 1 species
GUUCCAGAUCCGAAUCGGGAAGAAUGACUUGGUUCUCAAAUUUCCUGACGAAGUGGGUUCUUGGAACAAGUUUAACAAAAAAAGGAAUGAUUUUGGAAAUUUUGUUAGGGAGAUUGGCUUCUCUGCUGUACUCGACACAUUCAAAGUGGAGGGUCCAUUUGAUUUGCGUGUCGGUGGCCAAGACGACCUCUCCUUGUUGUUGCCGCUGAAUGUUUCGCACAGCGGUUUGAAAAGGAUACUAG